rnacentral:rRNA from 1 species
UACGGAGGGUGCAAGCGUUAUCCGGAUUCACUGGGCUUAAAGGGAGCGCAGGCGGGCUGGUAAGUCAGUGGUGAAAGCCUUGAGCUUAACUCGAGAACUGCCAUUGAUACUAUCAGUCUUGAAUAUUGUUGAGGUUUGCGGAAUGGGUCAUGUAGCGGUGAGAUGCAUAGAUAUGACCCGGAACACCUAUUGCGAAGGCAGCAGGCUAAACAAAGAUUGACGCUGAGGCUCGAAAGCGUGGGGAUCAAACAGG